rnacentral:rRNA from 1 species
GACGAACGCUGGCGGCGUGCCUAAUACAUGCAAGUAGAACGCUGAAGGAGGAGCUUGCUUCUCUGGAUGAGUUGCGAGCGGGUGAGUAACGCGUAGGUAACCUGCCUGGUAGCGGGGGAUAACUAUUGGAAACGAUAGCUAAUACCGCAUAAAAUUGAUUAUUGCAUGAUAGUCAAUUAAAAGGUGCAAUUGCAUCACUACCAGAUGGACCUGCGUUGUAUUAGCUAGUUGGUGAGGUAACGGCUCACCAAGGCAACGAUACAUAGCCGACCUGAGAGGGUGAUCGGCCACACUGGGACUGAGACACGGCCCAGACUCCUACGGGAGGCAGCAGUAGGGAAUCUUCGGCAAUGGACGGAAGUCUGACCGAGCAACGCCGCGUGAGUGAAGAAGGUUUUCGGAUCGUAAAGCUCUGUUGUAAGAGAAGAACGAGUGUGAGAGUGGAAAGUUCACAC